UUCCUCAGGAACAGGUGAAAUCUUUCCAAUCCCUUCAACUCUGUUUUUCAUUUAGGUUUCCAUAUGCUUAUUCUCUCACCUUGGAGCUCACUAUUGAGUUUUCUUUCUUGAGAGAUUCUAAUUUGAGUGUAAGAUGAGGGUCCCACUAGGCAGCCCAUAGUGCCUUCUGUUCUUGCAGGAUCCUUUUUGAGCAUGAACUUGGAGCAACACAAGGAUACGAGAUUACCUUGGCAAGAUUAGUGUUGGUUUGAUUCACCUUGCCAGUACACUUGCAUAUUAUUUACCUCAGCAAGGUUAUCUAGGUUGGCUCUUAUCCUACUUGGCAUGACGACUAAAUCUGAUCCCAUAAAGGCUGCA
rnacentral:lncRNA from 1 species